GACGUAGGGCGCGAGCGUUGUCCGGAUUUAUUGGGCGUAAAGAGCUCGUAGGCGGUCUGUUACGUCUGCUGUGAAAACCCUGGGCUUAACCCUGGGCUUGCAGUGGAUACGGGCAGACUAGAGGCAGGUAGGGGAGAAUGGAAUUCCCGGUGUAGCGGUGAAAUGCGCAGAUAUCGGGAGGAACACCGGUGGCGAAGGCGGUUCUCUGGGCCUGACCUGACGCUGAGGAGCGAAAGCGUGGGGAGCGAACAGG
rnacentral:rRNA from 1 species